AGACCCGAAACCCGGUGAUCUAGCCAUGGGCAGGUUGAAGGUUGGGUAACACUAACUGGAGGACCGAACCGACUAAUGUUGAAAAAUUAGCGGAUGACCUGUGGCUGGGGGUGAAAGGCCAAUCAAACCGGGAGAUAGCUGGUUCUCCCCGAAAGCUAUUUAGGUAGCGCCUCGUGAAUUCAUCUCCGGGGGUAGAGCACUGUUUCGGCUAGGGGGCCAUCCCGGCUUACCAACCCGAUGCAAACUGCGAAUACCGGAGAAUGUUAUCACGGGAGACACACGGCGGGUGCUAACGUCCGUCGUGAAGAGGGAAACAACCCAGACCGCCAGCUAAGGUCCCAAAGUCAUGGUUAAGUGGGAAACGAUGUGGGAAGGCCCAGACAGCCAGGAUGUUGGCUUAGAAGCAGCCAUCAUUUAAAGAAAGCGUAAUAGCUCACUGGUCGAGUCGGCCUGCGCGGAAGAUGUAACGGGGCUAAACCAUGCACCGAAGCUGCGGCAGCGAACGUAUCACCCAAGACAACUUUACGGAGUUGACGAUUGACGGAGCGAAGCGACGUCAAAG
rnacentral:rRNA from 3 species